CAUAUGUGUGCAUGUGUCUUUAUAAGCAGCAUGAUUUAUAAUCCAUUGGGUAUAUACCCAGUAAUGGGAUGGCUGGGUCAAAUGGUAUUUCUAGUUCUAGUGAGCAUUUAGAUAAGCAAGCCAUUGUUUUCUUUGAGGAAUGCAGGCAUCAUAGAGGAUGUAGUAUCUAUUACUGUGAAAAUUUUCAUCCUAUGAGUCUUGAAAGGAGGCAGAGCCCAUCUACCAUGGUAGACGUCAAAGAUACAGAUAUAGAUUUCUGUAGCCUUCCUUAGAGAAAGGGUACUACUACAUGACCUAGAUUUACUGGUCAGAUUCCACCCAUCCUACUUCUGAACUUUGAAUCAGUUCAUUUCAAAAGAAAAGGGACAGUAGAGAAAACAUCUCGGUGUUGAUGGUGAAGUGGUAGUGUAGCAUCCAGGUUCCAGGCUCAGCAGUAGAAGCAUCAAUUGUCCUGCAGCAGCAACUAAAAUAGCGCCAGCUUAGCAGGGCAGCUCUGUCCUCAUGGGCCUGGCUCUGGAACUUGAUAUUUACCAGUUGGCUGCUGCCUGGCCUCCCUUGUGUCUGACCAUUCUCGAACUUGGUUCACAAUUUUUCCUUUCACACCACUAGCUACUAAAUACUUAUUCAAUACAUUUAUAUUCUGUGUAAAUGAGACAGUGUUGUUUUCUGUUGCUUGCUUCAAAAAACACCAGCUGAUACAGAGAGAUGAUGCAUGAACACACACAGAUGGAUGAGGUAAAACAGAAUAGAAAAGUCAAAAAUUUAGAAUUCUCGAUUUUUCUGUUGCCUACAACCACUACAUCGAAACUUCUAGCUAAAUCUACUGUUUUAUUCUCCAAAACAUAUCUUCCUGUAUUUAUUGUCCAUCUCCAUUACUAUGACCCUGUUGAAGCCACAUCUCUUUCCUAUGUUAAGCAAAAUUUUAUGUAAAUAUCCUCUCUAGGUCCCAAAUUAAUUUAAGCUUCUCAUAAGCCAGUGGCUAAAAGGUUUAGAAAACCAAAGGAGAGUUAUCAAUUAGAAAGCUUUUGCAAAAACUAUUUUCUACUUAAGAUAGCAUUGGAUUUUAACCAGACAUUCACUGCAAUGGAUUUUCAGACCUCUGUUUUUUUCUUUCUUUUUUUUUUUUUCAGGCCUUGAAGUUGUAGUAGAAUUGUAAAAGGCUCUUCAUCUCCCGCUCUCUUCUACAUAUAGAAAGCAGGAGAAAUAAAUUCAUCUAUUGUCACAUUUUCUGGAAACAGUCUGGUUACCCCUGUUUCUCCCUUGAGGUGACCAGCCUGCUUCAACUGAAUGCUCAACAGAGAUAUCAUAUUACAGUUUUACUUUCUCAUUUUGAACAUGGAAAGACUAGCUUCCUCUAUUUUUUAGAGGCUAUAUUGCAAUGUAGUAAGAAUUUAUGGAAAAUUCUCACAACAAAAUUGAAUAUAGAAAGACUACAGAAUACUUCCUCCUUUGGUGAUUACUCAUGUAACUGUUUUCCAACUCAUAAAGUAAGCAAGUUAAACUCUUCUCCUAUCACUCCAAGAAAAUGUGAACUGUUCAUUUGUCUGGAAAAAUCUAUAAUUGAAUCCAUCUGUGCCUGUGGGUUUCAGUUUAUUUUCCCUUUUCUUUCAGUGAAGGGUUUUAAGUGACAAAUUUGAUUCCUUAAUAGAUAUCAGACAAUUCUAAUAUUUAACUUCUUCUUUUGUCAUCUUUACUAAGUUAUAUUGUCCCAGGAAUUUGUCUAUUUUAUUCACAUUGUCAAAUUUUUGUCAUACAGUUUUUCAGAAUGUCACGUCUAAAUAUCUUUUGAUCUGUGAAGAUUUGUAGUGAUAUGAUAUUAAUAGCACCCAUAAUAUUAAUUUUCUUCUCUUAUUGUAUCAAUCAGUCUUUUUAGUGUUUAUCAAUUGUGUUAAUGUUAUUAACGUGUCAAAUUUUGGCUCUUGUCUUAUGAUUUAUAUUUAUUUUAUUAAUAUCUGCAUUUAUAUUUAUUAUUCAUUUAGGUUUUUCAUCUUUAUACAAAUUAAAUACAAAUAAUACAAAAUUUCGUAUAGUUACAAAGUAAAAUGCAAGAAUAAAAAUGUUAUUUAGCAGCAAAUUAAAGAACUAUGUGAUGAGGAGUAAAAUAGAAAUGGAAGUACUCAUUGCUUUACCAUUUUAUGUGAGAUUAUCUAGAUACAUUUUCAGUUGCUAAAUUAUUCAAAAGAAGAUUAAGUAUAUUCUUAAAAAUCAUAAUUACUGAAAAAACUAAGAUUUCAGAAAUUUCUGACAAAAUCUGAAGAGUUGAAAAGUGGAAAUGGUAUUUUUAUUAUUUAAAUGUAUCAGCUAAAUUUCUCAUAUGGGAGUGCCAAAUUUGAUAAUCAAGAAAGAGUAGUAUUAAUAUAUUAUUUCCUGUUCUUUUGGUAACCAUAAUGUAUCAGCUAACAUUUGAGUCAACUUUGAAGAAUGGGGGAAAGUUAUGGAGACAAUGGAAACAGAGGAUUUUUUCCCUCUCACAUGAUAAUGUUUAUGGACAGACAUUUUUUUGUGUUACAGCACGGCUCCUUUUAUUUUCUGCUUCUGCAGGCCCCUGCUCUAUGCUGUUCUGUGAGCCUAGGUCUGACACUUUCAAAUUAGGAUAUAAGAUAGCUGCUAAUAUUCAAGAGCUAACUACAAGAAAAUGAAACAUGCAGAAGAUAGGUGUCUCUUUUCUCAUUAAAAACUUCUCUCUAAAUUAGAACAUACGUUUCUGUUUAUGUCUCAUAAACCAAAUUGUAGCUAAAUGAUGUCUUCUAGGCAAGAUAGGUUACAAAGUAUUGUUUUAGUUCUUUUGGCAGUAGACAUAACUAAGGGUAAGCCACAAGAUGGUGAGAACACAUAUUGGGGUAAGCAGCAAGCGGUCUCCACAAGACACUAAAAUAACGUUAUGGAGAAAGAGUUAAAAGAUAUUACCGCUGAGGAGAGGAGCCAAGAUGGCCGAAUAGGAACAGCUCCGGUCUACAGCUCCCAGCGUGAGCGACGCAGAAGACGGUGAUUUCUGCAUUUCCAUCUGAGGUACCGGGUUCAUCUCGCCAGACAGUGGGUGCAGAGAUGGGAUUGUGCUAGAGCAGCACAGGCUGGUCUUGAAUUCUGAGAUCAAGCAACCCUCCUGCCUCAUCUUUGUGAAUAUCUGGGACUACAGUGAAAAAGAUGAACGGCAGAAACUGGAGCCCUUUGUUACAGAGCUAAACAUAUACACCUGGUCGCAGAAACUGAAGAAAGAUCCAGAGAAAAGUGGAACAAUUGCAAGCCCAGCUGCUGCUUCACAGCAAAGAGGUGACUCAGCAGAUCUGCAAUAAGUCCGUGAACUACAAAAUGACCAUUGUUUCUCUUCUUCCUUUCAAAUCUUCCAAGAAUAUCCCUUGCUGCUCACUCUAAUGAAAACAUGCAAAAGAAGAUAUUCAGGGAAACUAGGUUGACAUAUUGCAAAGCCAUCACAAUUCUCUAUCUACAUUCCACAUUCAACUGUAGUACACAGAUUAGGCUCCUCACCUAGCUCUAGUUUGAGACUGAUUUCUGUUCUUAUUUUAUAAGAUCUCUUAGAAGUUUUUUGUAUAGUUAUUGUUUUAAGCAAUUAAUUACAAUUGAAAUUUUGGAGGAUGUGUGGGGAUUAAGUUUCUUUCUGAUACUAGUAAAUUCCUUCCCUAUGAAAGGAGAAAUGACUGCCAGAGAGAAAUUUUCAGACAGUUGUGACAAAGUUACAAUUUUCAUCUAAGGUAAACUGGAAAGCAGUGUGGGUCCUUUAUUAUUAUCUUCCCAGGAAUAUACUAGGAUGAUGCACGAGUACAUUCUAGAAAGGCAAAAGAAUUGAUAUGUCAUACAUCCUUAUUGGAAUUCAAAUACUGGCCAAUCCUGACAGCUGUUCCUAAUAGACAAUGGAUUGUGACUAAAGCCAGAGUCAUAUGCCUCCCUUAAAGUCAAUACAAAAAUAAGUUGAGGCUAAAAUUACUAUUCAGAUACUGCUAGGAGUGGGUAUAAAGUUAUUUAUCAAAAGUUUCUCAGAUAAUAUUUCAAAAUGAGCUAAGGAAAAUUAUAAAUAUUGAAAGGAAGGGGAUAAAUUAAAUUUGUACGAGGAGGUGUGCACAGAGAAAUUAUAGUUACAAAGGAAUAUUUGUUAAAUGAAAGCAAUGGAAAGCUAACAACUUAUGGAUCAAACAAUACUUAACUAAGAGUGCAUAAAAUCUUUCAUAUUAUUUCUCUCCAGUGGAAGUGUCUCUUUAUAGUCUUGUAUAUUACCUGAAUUUUGAAAGUAUACAUUAUUUUUCACUUAAAAUAUUAAUUUUAUUUCUAGACUAUGUAUUUCAGAAGAAAAUAGAUGUUAACAAAACUAGGAUAAAACUAAAUUGUGUGUGUGUGUGUGUGUGUGUGUGUGUGUGGUGUAUUAACACUCAUUAUGGGUUAUAGCAUAGCCGAUAAAAUACAAUAUAUAUUAUACUAACCAGGAAAUAUGCUACAUCGUAUUUAUUGCUGGCAAAUAUGUAUAACAUUUUCCUAUUUUCUUGUAAAAGAUUUAUACAUUAUUUGCAUGUAUACUAAAGUUUUAGCUGAAGUGUUAGGAAUGUCAGAGAGAUUAACUGAAAAGAACUUAAACUGAA
rnacentral:lncRNA from 1 species